rnacentral:rRNA from 1 species
GGAUUAGAUACCCUGGUAGUCCUGGCAGUAAACGGUGCACGUUUGGUGUGGGCGCAAUCGACCGCGUCCGCGCCGGAGCUAACGCGUUAAACGUGCCGCCUGGGAAGUACGGUCGCAAGAUUAAAACUCAAAGAAAUUGACGGGGACCCGCACAAGCGGUGGAGUAUGUGGCUUAAUUCGAUGCAACGCGAAGAACCUUACCUGGUCUUGACAUGCAUUGUGUCUCCGGUGAAAGCCGGAUAGAGUAGCAAUACUCGCUUUGCACAGGUGCUGCAUGGCUGUCGUCAGCUCGUGCCG